rfam:Gossypium hirsutum cultivar TM-1 chromosome 13, whole genome shotgun sequence
AACCCAUGGUGAGGGCACCUUCUCAACAAAUCCUUGUAUCUCUCCCAUGCAUCACAUAGUAUUUCUAAAUCUGUCUGCGCAAAAGAAGAGAUAUCAUUCCCCAAUUU